rnacentral:rRNA from 1 species
ACGAACGCUGGCGGCGUGCUUAACACAUGCAAGUCGAACGGAAAGGCCCUGCUUUUGUGGGGUGCUCGAGUGGCGAACGGGUGAGUAACACGUGAGUAACCUGCCCUUGACUUUGGGAUAACUUCAGGAAACUGGGGCUAAUACCGGAUAGGAGCUCCUGCUGCAUGGUGGGGGUUGGAAAGUUUCGGCGGUUGGGGAUGGACUCGCGGCUUAUCAGCUUGUUGGUGGGGUAGUGGCUUACCAAGGCUUUGACGGGUAGCCGGCCUGAGAGGGUGACCGGCCACAUUGGGACUGAGAUACGGCCCAGACUCCUACGGGAGGCAACAGUGGGGAAUAUUGCACAAUGGGCGGAAGCCUGAUGCAGCAACGCCGCGUGCGGGAUGACGGCCUUCGGGUUGUAAACCGCUUUCGCCUGUGACAAAGCGUGAGUGACGGUAAUGGGCAAAGAAGCACCGGCUAACUACGU